UACGUAGGGUGCGAGCGUUGUCCGGAAUUAUUGGGCGGAAAGAGCUUGUAGGCGGUUUGUCGCGUCUGCUGUGAAAAUCCGGGGCUCAACCCCGGACUUGCAGUGGGUACGGGCAGACUUGAGUUCGGUAGGGGAGACUGGAAUUCCUGGUGUAGCGGUGAAAUGCGCAGAUAUCAGGAGGAACACCGGUGGCGAAGGCGGGUCUCUGGGCCGAUACUGACGCUGAGGAGCGAAAGCGUGGGGAGCGAACAGG
rnacentral:rRNA from 1 species